rnacentral:rRNA from 1 species
UACAGAGGGGGCAAGCGUUGUUCGGAAUUACUGGGCGUAAAGGGCGCGUAGGCGGCCUUCUAAGUCGAACGUGAAAUCCCCGGGCUCAACCCGGGAACUGCGUCCGAUACUGGAAGGCUAGAAUCCGGGAGAGGGAUGCGGAAUUCCAGGUGUAGCGGUGAAAUGCGUAGAUAUCAGGAGGAACACCGGUGGCGAAGGCGGGUCUCUGGGCAGUAACUGACGCUGAGGAGCGAAAGCGUGGGGAGCGAACAGG